CAGUGACUACUUCAGACCUUCCUGCUCCUCAAAGCUCCAACUCCAUCCUUCCUUGCUUGUUUGUCUUCUGCUUCACACAGAAAACCAAAAUCACCAGGAUCAGGCCUCAUCAUUUCAUGCCGGGACUUCACUGAUCCCUGCUUUCAACUUGACCUUGGAGCGGUCCUCCAUAUAGCUGCCAGUGGUGCAUCUAAAACGCAGACCUGCUCACGUCUCCUGCCAAACACCGUUCACUGACCACCUGCCUCUUCCAUUACUUGUAUCGUCCACUGUAGUAAGAGCAGUGUGUAAGGAACCCCCUGGUUGGUGAGGGAGCACCUAUAAUUUGGAAAAGCUUCCCCAGUCCAUUUGAGUCACAGACUUCCAGGAUAGUUUUGUAAUGCAAGGCUCUUUCCUCCAUGACCCUUGAUUGCCCAGCUCUCCAGACUCACCUGCCAGCAUUCCUCACCUUGGACUUGAUGUCACACAACCACCCCACUUCUUCCACACACUUACCACCCUACUUCUUGGGACCCCGUAUUGCUCAUCUUCCAAAACUCAGCAAUGAUGCCCCUGAGGUCUCUGCUGGAAGCAUGUUGACAGCAAGGACUAUGUCUUGUUCUUCACACAACCUGGCACAUACCUUGUGCACAGCUGAACCGAAAAGGAACUUGGCAAACGACAGACUGAGUUUAAUGUUUUCUUGGUCAUUGUACCAGAACAGAUGGUCCUAAAGACAGUUUAUGAAAUGUAAUUAGGGUAAGUGUAAAUUCCUGUAGCUACAUACAAAAAUAACAGGCAUGCAAAUAUCAGGUGGGCAAGUAUGGCUUUGUGAUAGUUCAUGGGAGAAAAGGUAGGGAUUUUCACUGACGAAGCCUUGCCCUGGGUUGCCGGUGUGGUCAGGCUGCAGGCGCUGCUGGAAACGUGGCCUUCCAUACUGGUGUCGCUCUGUUAUUGUCCCUGUUCUCUCUUGUGUCUUCAGUAAUUUCCACUCCCAUCCAUCCUCUCAUCCUAUACAUAUGUCCAGGUGCCCCUCCUGCCAACCUUUAAAACCCUCUGUCCUACCUGCCUUUUCCUCAGGUGCUUCCCUCUGUUCUUUUCCUUUUAUUUUUUAAUUUUUAUUUCUUAAACGUAUCUUUAUUAUUGAGAGUAUUAUAGAUGUCCCCUUUCUCUCCCCCUUUGAUGCUCUUCCUUUUAUACUCUUGAAAAAAAGAGUCUAUACUGCCCCUGCUCACCAUCCAUUCCUUACUAUCUGAAAACCCCUUGCCCACCUUAGCUUCCAUGAUGCUACUUUCUCUUGGUUCAUCCUCUCUCUCCUUUCCUCCUCUCUGGAGGUAACUUUGCUUUAUUGAAAAGCUGGAGACCCUCCAAAGUGAUUCAGCUCUCCGUUUCCUAUUUCAUACACCCUAACAUCAUUGAAUACAGCCCCCCUCCUCUUUCCUGACGGUGGCUUCCCACCCACAUGCUCCCUUGAGCCCAUCUGCUCCUCAGAGACCUCGCUCAAUCAUCCAUGUCUCUUCUGUUGUGGUUCCUACCCAUUCCAUCACUUUUGCCUACGAGCAUGUGCGAAUUUUUCCAUCCUUGCUGCCUCCUUUGGAUUUUUCCAUCCCUUAAGAACUUCCUGUGAUCCUCUGCCCUUCACCACCAGCCUUUUCCAAAGAGAAGUCCACCUCCCUGCCUCCCUCUUGCUGCCUCUCACCAGUCACUCAGUGUCACACAGUCUGACUUAGGCCUGAGUUACUCUGUGACAGCUGCUCCCCAAGUGGCAUUAGAAACCUAACCAGCAAUUUAAGUGCCUUUCCUUCCCUUUCCCCCCAGUUCUCAUCCUCAGGGAUCUCCCUACAGGAUUUGGCCAACUCUUCCUCCUUUUAGGGCAGCCCCAGUCCUCAUCUUCUCUUCCCUUGUUGUCUCUUUGUGCUUUCUUGGGUUCCUGCCGUGUCUGCUUCUCCCAUCCUAGAUGGAGGGUUUCCUGGUUCUCUGUUCUUGGUGUUUUUUCUCGACACUCUCCCCAUUACCUCUAACAAUAAGGAGAUGGAGAGAGGGUGCUGAAAAGACUAUGAGGAUAGGGGAGUUCUUUGUGUUGGUUUGGUGAUAUUGGCUUAUUAUUGUUGUAGUUGUUUUAUAAUGGUUUGAGGGAUUCCUUAGGAGACCAACAAACCACAUGUUGGUUCUGCUAUUUUCUGGACAUAUCCCAAACAUUCUUUUUUUAAAAAAAUUGAUGAGAGUGAGAGAGAGAGAGAGAGAGAGAGAGAGAGACAGAGAGAGAGAGCGCGAGCCUGGUUUUUCCACCUAUUUAUGCAUUCAUUGGUUGCUUCUUGUAUGUGCCCUGACUGGGGAUGGAACCUGCAACCUUGGCAUAUCAGGACAACACUCCAACCAACUGAGCUGCCCAGCCAGGGCAUCCUCAAACAUUCUUUGUCUUGGUCUUUCUUUACCUGUUGUGUUCCCUCCUCGCUCAUGGCCUCUGUAGCAUUCCAGUAAUGCUUCUCUUACAAAUCAGCUAUGACGCUGUAGUCCUUUCACCAUGUACUGUAGCUUCUAUUCUUCGCCAGGACACAGGCUCUCUUGAGGUCAGGACUUGGCUUAUUUUAUAUCCCUUGGAGCACUUAACAGAUUCUUGCAUAGAGUGUGUAAUCUAUAAGAGCUUCCUCAGCUGCCUCAGCUAAUGGGAAGAGCAUGACUUUUAGACAUAAACAGACCGGGAUUCUGAUGCUGCUCCUGGUUAGCUGGGCGACCUUGGGCACAUUGCUUACCUUUCUAAUGACAGUAAUGUGAGGAUAAAAUAUGACAAUGGGUGCUCAGAAGAUGCAGGUCCCUUCCCCUUCCCGAGGUGGGAAGCAGUGGGGUGAGGUGGGCACCAACCUGGGGGACACUAGGACACUCAGUGAAAGCAAAGCCAAGCAUUUGUGCAGACUUCAGGAUUUGCGGGGAAGCCAUUUGCAAGCCUGCCCUACUUUGACACAACACAGGAUCCUCCAUGAAUGAUCUACAGUUUCAGCCCUGGGACUGGCCAGAAGUGGGAGGAGACAAAGUGACCUAAAUUGUUUAAAGCAGCUUCUGAGGACAUAUUGAUAUACUUGAUGUAUCUCUGCCCAUAAAUGACUGGCCAGUGGUUGGAAUUUUAUUGCACUUGGUAUGGCCCCUUUAACCUUCACACAGUCCUGCCUUAGCUUCCGUUUUGCUGUUUUUAUUUUUUUUCCCCCCUGCCUCCUUCCCUCCCUUGGCCCCUACUGCAUACACAAAUACCAGUACACUACUUAGCUGCCCUCUUCCUGACUUUCCCUACCCCAAGUUAAGCUGCUGGGGUAGGACAUUCCAAGCCCUUCUCUCAAGUCUAGCAGCUCUUCAAAUGGCAUCACACCACGUAACUGUUAUGGAGUUGGGCAGAUGUGUAUUUCACCUGCAGAAUCCUUUGAAAACAAGGAAGAGGCUGGUAAGCCAGCCACCAAAGCCAUUUGGAGUGAUCCAGGAAGGUAUUCCUUAGAAUUAAAGUGCCCUAGCUUGUUUCAAGUUUCUUCAACGUUUAAGUUGUCCUUGCUUUUUCCUUAGGAACAAUGCUUCAGGGAACGCCCUCAAAUGCAGCUUGUGGGUUUCUCUAGGAUAGAGAUGCCCAGGGGUUAGAGGAUAUGUGUAUUUAAAAAUUUAUUAGAUCCUGCCAGACUGUUCAGUUCAAAGACUGCUGCCACAGAAAAAAAAUUAUGGUGUCAUUUUCUAUCUUGCUCCAAAAGCCCUUCUCAUUGCUAAAGUUAUAAACUGGUUUUUCUGUGUUUAUAAUGUUUGGCCUUUUGCUUUUUUAUAUUUGGAUCCCUUCACUCCCUACGAGAGCUUUUUCCAUUGUGUAAGUGCCACCUGAAUAGUCUCCUUUGCUUUGAGGCUUGCUGUUCUAUUUCACUGAUCCAUAUGUCUACUCAUACUAUUGCUGUCAUAUUUUGUGCUUUUAAAAAAUUUGUGGAAAAAUAAAUAACAUACAAAUUUCCAUUUUAACUGUUUUUAAGUAUACAAUUCAGUGACAUUAAUCAUAUUCAUAGUGUUGUGCAAUAAUCACCACUGUUUCCAGACUUUUCAUCAGCUCAAACAGAAACUCGGUACUCAUUAAGCAAUAGCUUCCUGUCCCCAUCUCAUCCUGUCCCCUGGUAGUCUACUUUCUGUCUCUGUGAAUUUGCAUAUUCUAGGUGUUUCAUAUAAGUGGAACUAUACAAUAUUUGUCCUUUUGUAUCUGGUUUAUUUUACUUAGCUUAAUGUUUUCAAGGUCCAUGCAGUUUGAAUCAUGUAUUAGAAUUUCAUUUCUUUUUAUAGCCGAAUAAUAUUCUGUUAUAUAUAGACCACGUUUUGCUUAUCCAUCAUCUGUUCAUAGACACUUGGGUUGUUUCUACCUUUUGUUUAUGCUCUGUGAACAUAUGUGUACAAGUAUCUGUUUGAAUCCCUGUUUUCAGUUCUCUUGGGUAUCUAACUAAGAGUGGAAGAGCUGGGUCAUAUGGUAAUUCAUGUUUAACUUUUAGUGGAGCUGUCAAACCGUUUUCUACAGUGGCCACAGAGGAGAUGCUUGACCCCCUUCAUUGUUAGUAGGAAGAGCAGUCCCUGCGGCCUGUUUUGCAUUCUCCUGCCCACAUUUCCCUCCCCUGCUGGAGCCAAGCACAGAACCUGGCACACGGUGGUACCAAGUGCAGGGUGGCCUGGUUGGGUGGAUAAAUGGACAGAUGAACUUCAGACCACUGGACUGUUGAGCAGAAAGCAAUGUGGUGCUGUGAAAAGUGCCUGGAGCCAUAUUAAUGGUGAGUGAGUGUGACAAGAGACAUGAAUUCUGUUUCGUAGAUGAGCCCUUAGUUUCUGUCUCAUUUAGCUAAUCUGUAAAAGGUGAUUGCACUCCUGCUCUACACGGUGUUGAGACAUGAGAUCUGGGUGCAAAAGCCAAAGACACCCACCAAUGUUAGGUAUUGCUGCGUCCCACGUGUGCCUCAGCACUCAGACUAGGGCCUGACGCUUCGGUUACAUGAUUUCUUGUGUGCCUUCAUUCAUACAUUCAGCCACUAUUAAUUGAGUGCUUGCUCUGUGCCAGACACUGUUCUGGAGACUGGGAUUCGGCUGUGACUAAGAGGGAGAAAAAAGGCCUUGGCCUCAUCAAUCACUCAGUGGUCCAAGAACAAGUCCCAAGAGACAACUCCCUUCCUAUUCUUUUGGCACCAACUCUAGACUUUCUAAAAGCACAGCAAGAAAUGCUGGUGAAGAGCUUGUAUUUUAAGGAGGUGUUUCCACCUUAAAGGAGAAAAAUGGAUUUUAAAAUGUAGAACGAAGAAUAGGCCAGGUGCUUUAUAAGUUAAGCAGCUUGAAACUCCAUUGGGGAACCUUCAUGGGCUUUCUGUGUGAAGAGCAAAGAGAAGUUUCCAGAUACUCCCCCCACUGUGACCCCCUCAGGAAAAAUGAGAGAGGCAUGGUCUCCACACCUCUUCUUGCAAGAGUUGGGGCUGGGUGGGGGUGGUUGGGAGGACUGUCACCAGGCUCCCUGCAACACCAGAUCUAACUAGGAAUGGUGUCAGGUGACUCUUUGGCCCCACUGGGAGAUGGAAGUCUGUUUAUCUGGUUUGGUCACUGACCCCUGCCCCGCAGGAGCCCUCCAAGGUGGCCCAAGAGCUCAUGGCCACUGAGCAUGGAUCUCAUGUACUGGCUGUCAAUCAUCCCAUUUAAUCCACCCCACAACCCUCGAGCGUCUAUAAAAAACAGGCUCAGGGAGGGUAAGAACCUUAGUCUAGGUCAGUGAUGGCGAACCUUUUGAGCUCGGCAUGUCAGCAUUUUGAAAAACCCUAACUUAACUCUGGU